UAACGAAUCUUCCGCAAUGUACGAAAGUAUGACGGAGCGACGCCGCGUGUAGGACGAAGCCCUUCGGGGUGUAAACUACUGUCAAGGGUUAGAAAGUUCUGAUCAACCCUAGAGGAAGGCACGGCUAACUCUGUGCCAGCAGCCGCGGUAAGACAGAGGUGCCAAGCGUUAGGCGGAAUCACUGGGCUUAAAGCGUGUGUAGGCGGAUGUCUAAGUACCUUGUGAAAUCCCACGGCUCAACCAUGGAACUGCUCGGUAUACUGCAAAUCUUGAGCCACUUAGGGGCUACCGGAACAAAUGGUGGAGCGGUGAAAUGCGUAGAUAUCAUUUGGAACGCCAAUGGUGAAAACAGGUAGCUGGGAGUGUGCUGACACUGAGACACGAAAGCCAGGGGAGCGAACGGGAUUAGAUACCCCCGUAGUCC
rnacentral:rRNA from 1 species